CAGUCGCCACGGGAAUACGAAGGGGGCUAGCGUUGCUCGGAAUUACUGGGCGUAAAGGGCGCGUAGGCGGGUCGUUUAGUUAGAGGUGAAAGCCCAGGGCUCAACCCUGGAAUUGCCUUUAAUACUGGCGGCCUUGAGUAUGGCAGAGGUGUGUGGAACUCCGAGUGUAGAGGUGAAAUUCGUAGAUAUUCGGAAGAACACCAGUGGCGAAGGCGACACACUGGGCCAUUACUGACGCUGAGGCGCGAAAGCGUGGGGAGCAAACAGGAUUAGAUACCCCUGUAGUCCCUGUCUCUUAUAC
rnacentral:rRNA from 1 species